rnacentral:ncRNA from 1 species
GCAACGGAGAGUUUGAUCCUGGCUCAGGACGAACGCUGGCGGCGUGCUUAACACAUGCAAGUCGAGCGAGGAACUUCGGUUCCUAGCGGCGAACGGGUGAGUAACACGUGGGCAACCUGCCCCGAGCUCUGGGAUAACUUCGGGAAACCGGGGCUAAUACCGGAUAUGACACUACUGGACAUCUGGUGGUGUGGAAAGAUUUAUCGGCUUGGGAUGGGCCCGCGGCCUAUCAGCUUGUUGGUGGGGUAACGGCCUACCAAGGCGACGACGGGUAGCCGGCCUGAGAGGGCGAU